UACGAAGGGGGCUAGCGUUGUUCGGAAUUACUGGGCGUAAAGGGCUCGUAGGCGGUCUGUCGCGUCGAAAGUGAAAGCCCUGGGCUUAACCUGGGAAUUGCAGUCGAUACUACUCAGCUAGAGUAUGGGAGAGGGCAGUGGAAUUCCCGGUGUAGCGGUGAAAUGCGUAGAUAUCGGGAGGAACAUCAGUGGCGAAGGCGGCUGCCUGGCCCAAUACUGACACUCAGGUGCGACAGCGUGGGGAGCAAACAGG
rnacentral:rRNA from 1 species